AAUACAAGGCAAACGGUUCAUUACCGCGAAUCCCUUUAACCAAUGGACGGAAAUACCCUCGGGAAACUGAGUACCAUGCCCAAAAAAACUUUAUGCCGGGAAUGGUUUAUGUUCCAAAUGAUUUACCGCCGAAGGAGGGGACGGCGGCCUAUCAUUUUGUUGGGGAGGUAAGGCCCCACCAAAAUUAUUACAGGUACGGGUUCUAAAAGAAGUACCCCGAAAAUGGUUACUGAAACACGAACCCCGCCCCUAGGGGGCGCAGCAGGAAAAAAAAUUUUGCAUGGUGCAAAAGCACAACAAGGUUAAUCCGAUUGUUUUCUGCUAAAGGAACUUUUUGUCGGUCCAAAAAACACUGAUAAAAAAGGGGGGGGCAAUUUCUGGUGCCACCCCCCGCGAAAAAACCACCCCCUCAGGUGGUCAGAAUAAUUAUGGGGCCAAAACCAUCCGUAGCCGGUUUUGUUAUUUUUCGGUUAAAUCUGUACCCUCAACGUACAGGCUGCCGGAAAUACUGAAAAGCUAGGGAGGGGAAAAGGAAAACGGUACUCGGAAGGAAGGGAAAAAAUCUUUUGAUCUAUUGAUAACCACCGGUGGCGAAGGCGGCCUACAAAAACCCGUCCAACGGGGAGGAAUAAAAGCUGGGGAACCAAACCGAAUUAAAUACCCGGUUACCCCCAGCUGUAAACUAUGCAAACUCAUUGAUGCAUUGGUUUGUGACCAAUGCAUUGCUGCAGGAAACCCAUUAAUUUUGCCGCCUGGGAAGUACGUACGCAAGUAUAAAACUCAAAGGAAUUGACGG
rnacentral:rRNA from 1 species